rnacentral:rRNA from 1 species
CGGAGGGUGCAAACGUUGUUCGGAAUUACUGGGCGUAAAGCGCGUGUAGGCGGCCCUGCAAGUCGGGUGUGAAAUCCCACGGCUCAACCGUGGAAGUGCACUCGAAACUGCAGGGCUAGAGUCCUGGAGAGGAAGGUGGAAUGCUUGGUGUAGAGGUGAAAUUCGUAGAUAUCAAGCGGAACACCGGUGGCGAAGGCGGCCUUCUGGACAGUGACUGACGCUGAGACGCGAAAGCGUGGGGAGCAAACAGGAUUAGAUACCCUGGUAGUCCACGCCGUAAACGAUGAGUGCUUGGUGUCACGGGCUUUGACCCUCGUGGUGCCGAAGCUAACGCGUUAAGCACUCCGCCUGGGGAGUACGGUCGCAAGACUA